rnacentral:tRNA from 1 species
GCAGGUGUAGUUCAAUCGGUAGAAUGUGUGCCUUCCAAGCAUGAGACCCCGGAUCGUAACCGGGCACCUGCA